ACAACAAAAUGGGUGUAGUUUAUAACUCCAAGGACAAGACUCUCCGGUACUUAGAUGAUGAAGUUGAGAAUACUUUCUCUAUUUUUUUAUUUCAAUUAUAUUUUUCCCUUCUUUUUUAUUAUGCCAAAGGGGGAGAAGAUAUUACAUAUGUGUGUAUGCUUGCAGUCUAACUUUUUCAGGAAGAACCAAAGUUGUCAAAUUUAGGGGGAGUUAUCCAAGCAUAUAAUU
rnacentral:lncRNA from 1 species